UUAAGCGACUAAGCGUACACGGUGGAUGCCCUGGCAGUCAGAGGCGAUGAAGGACGUGCUAAUCUGCGAAAAGCGUCGGUAAGGUGAUAUGAACCGUUAUAGCCGGCGAUGUCCGAAUGGGGAAACCCAGUGCAAUUCGUUGCACUAUCGUUAACUGAAUACAUAGGUUAACGAGGCGAACCGGGGGAACUGAAACAUCUAAGUACCCCGAGGAAAAGAAAUCAACCGAGAUUCCCCCAGUAGCGGCGAGCGAACGGGGAGCAGCCCAGAGUCUGAAUCAGCUUGUGUGUUAGUGGAACGGUCUGGAAAGUCCGACGGUACAGGGUGAUAGUCCCGUACACCAAAAUGCACAGGCUGUGAACUCGAAGAGUAGGGCGGGACACGUGGUAUCCUGUCUGAAUAUGGGGGGACCAUCCUCCAAGGCUAAAUACUCCUGACUGACCGAUAGUGAACCAGUACCGUGAGGGAAAGGCGAAAAGAACCCCGGCGAGGGGAGUGAAAAAGAACCUGAAACCGUGUACGUACAAGCAGUGGGAGCACCUUCGGGUGUGACUGCGUACCUUUUGUAUAAUGGGUCAGCGACUUAUAUUCUGUAGCAAGGUUAACCGUAUAGGGGAGCCGCAGGGAAACCGAGUCUUAACUGGGCGUUAAGUUGCAGGGUAUAGACCCGAAACCCGGUGAUCUAGCCAUGGGCAGGUUGAAGGUUGGGUAACACUAACUGGAGGACCGAACCGACUAAUGUUGAAAAAUUAGCGGAUGACUUGUGGCUGGGGGUGAAAGGCCAAUCAAACCGGGAGAUAGCUGGUUCUCCCCGAAAGCUAUUUAGGUAGCGCCUCGUGAACUCAUCUUCGGGGGUAGAGCACUGUUUCGGCUAGGGGGUCAUCCCGACUUACCAACCCGAUGCAAACUACGAAUACCGAAGAAUGUUAUCACGGGAGACACACGGCGGGUGCUAACGUCCGUCGUGAAGAGGGAAACAACCCAGACCGCCAGCUAAGGUCCCAAAGUCAUGGUUAAGUGGGAAACGAUGUGGGAAGGCACAGACAGCCAGGAUGUUGGCUUAGAAGCAGCCAUCAUUUAAAGAAAGCGUAAUAGCUCACUGGUCAAGUCGGCCUGCGCGGAAGAUGUAACGGGGCUAAACCAUGCACCGAAGCUGCGGCAGCGACACUAUGUGUUGUUGGGUAGGGGAGCGUUCUGUAAGCCUGCGAAGGUGACCUGUGAGGGUUGCUGGAGGUAUCAGAAGUGCGAAUGCUGACAUAAGUAACGAUAAAGCGGGUGAAAAGCCCGCUCGCCGGAAGACCAAGGGUUCCUGUCCAACGUUAAUCGGGGCAGGGUGAGUCGACCCCUAAGGCGAGGCCGAAAGGCGUAGUCGAUGGGAAACAGGUUAAUAUUCCUGUACUUGGUGUUACUGCGAAGGGGGGACGGAGAAGGCUAUGUUAGCCGGGCGACGGUUGUCCCGGUUUAAGCAUGUAGGCUGAUUGUCCAGGCAAAUCCGGAUAAUCAAGGCUGAGGUGUGAUGACGAGGCACUACGGUGCUGAAGUAACAAAUGCCCUGCUUCCAGGAAAAGCCUCUAAGCAUCAGGUAACAUCAAAUCGUACCCCAAACCGACACAGGUGGUCAGGUAGAGAAUACCAAGGCGCUUGAGAGAACUCGGGUGAAGGAACUAGGCAAAAUGGUGCCGUAACUUCGGGAGAAGGCACGCUGGUGUGUAGGUGAAGCCCCUGCGGGUGGAGCUGAGACCAGUCGAAGAUACCAGCUGGCUGCAACUGUUUAUUAAAAACACAGCACUGUGCAAACACGAAAGUGGACGUAUACGGUGUGACGCCUGCCCGGUGCCGGAAGGUUAAUUGAUGGGGUUAUCCGUAAGGAGAAGCUCUUGAUCGAAGCCCCGGUAAACGGCGGCCGUAACUAUAACGGUCCUAAGGUAGCGAAAUUCCUUGUCGGGUAAGUUCCGACCUGCACGAAUGGCGUAAUGAUGGCCAGGCUGUCUCCACCCGAGACUCAGUGAAAUUGAACUCGCUGUGAAGAUGCAGUGUACCCGCGGCAAGACGGAAAGACCCCGUGAACCUUUACUAUAGCUUGACACUGAACAUUGAGCCUUGAUGUGUAGGAUAGGUGGGAGGCUUUGAAGCGUGGACGCCAGUCUGCGUGGAGCCAACCUUGAAAUACCACCCUUUAAUGUUUGAUGUUCUAACGUUGGCCCCUGACCGGGGUUGCGGACAGUGUCUGGUGGGUAGUUUGACUGGGGCGGUCUCCUCCCAAAGCGUAACGGAGGAGCACGAAGGUUAGCUAAUCCUGGUCGGACAUCAGGAGGUUAGUGCAAUGGCAUAAGCUAGCUUGACUGCGAGCGUGACGGCGCGAGCAGGUGCGAAAGCAGGUCAUAGUGAUCCGGUGGUUCUGAAUGGAAGGGCCAUCGCUCAACGGAUAAAAGGUACUCCGGGGAUAACAGGCUGAUACCGCCCAAGAGUUCAUAUCGACGGCGGUGUUUGGCACCUCGAUGUCGGCUCAUCACAUCCUGGGGCUGAAGUAGGUCCCAAGGGUAUGGCUGUUCGCCAUUUAAAGUGGUACGCGAGCUGGGUUUAGAACGUCGUGAGACAGUUCGGUCCCUAUCUGCCGUGGGCGCUGGAGAAUUGAGGGGGGCUGCUCCUAGUACGAGAGGACCGGAGUGGACGCAUCACUGGUGUUCGGGUUGUCAUGCCAAUGGCACUGCCCGGUAGCUAAAUGCGGAAGAGAUAAGUGCUGAAAGCAUCUAAGCACGAAACUUGCCCCGAGAUGAGUUCUCCCUGAGACUUUAAGUCUCCUGAAGGAACGUUGAAGACGACGACGUUGAUAGGCCGGGUGUGUAAGCGCAGCGAUGCGUUGAGCUAACCGGUACUAAUGAACCGUGAGGCUUAACCUU
rnacentral:rRNA from 1 species